CGCACGCGCCAAUCGAGCGGCCUGUUUUUGUCGGGCGGCCGCACGGGACACGUCGUGGGAGCGCCAUCAGCAGAGGCCAGGGGUGACGGGUAAAGAUGAAAAAACGCCGGAAGGGACAGAGGGAAAAAUGAAUCGGUUUCGUCGCGUAGCGCGCAGUGCGCGCGAUCGCCCGCCGCCGGCAAACAGAGAAAGAGAGAAAAGCGGCUCGUCGGGCGCGCGAUCGCAACAAACAACGAGAGGGCAUGGACGCCACACACACACACAAAAAAUAAAGGCGAGGGGCAACGCACCCGCGGCCGUCCACGUCGCCAUCGUGGUCGUAAAAAUGGCAGGCAAACACGUCCGACGCGUCGAGAAACUCGAUGUGGACGCCCUUGCCGGCCGCGUCCACGUCCAGAAAGGUCGUAGAGGGUCCUUCCAAGCCAAAGGUCUGGUCGAUGACGUACUCGGCCGGCGUCAGGUGGAUGACGAUGGCAUCGACGUCCGGCGAAUAGUGCAGAGCCAUGUCGUCCCUGAACCGUUGGCAUGUACAAGGCGGGAUUUUCCACAUUAAAAAAACAAUGGAG
rnacentral:lncRNA from 1 species